rnacentral:lncRNA from 1 species
AGGAUAUCUUUAAAGGACGGAUCAUAUUUGAAAAUGACUCAUUUUGUGUGAACAUACUCCACAAAAUCAAGGUGUACUCUUUCUAAUUCACCAUUUUACUUGUUUAUGUGAUCUGUUGAUAAUUUAGAUAUGUGCAUCUAAUCUUAAUAUUGUUAUUCAUAAUAUAGAUCUUGUGCAUUUUGAUAUUGCUUGCAUAUUAUUUAAUUCUAUGCAACCACAACCAGAUAUAGGUUUUGAUUUAGUGUUAGCAUGUUGUAUUUUGGAGAUGAUGGUCGUCUAACGGUGGUCUGCAAUAGUGGUUUGCGGCUGUAAAAUUUUUGACUAAAAUUAUGGCAUAGUUUAUGAUUUCAGUUUUGUAUAAUUGUAUUUAAUUUUCGGUUUUUAAUUGUCUGCAUUUAAUGUUUUAUUGAUUUUGGUUGUCACAUAAGGAAUUCGUAU